GUACAGGCGUCAGGUGAAUUUUUCACCUUAGGGGGCGCUAUGGAGCCAUUUUGCAUUGUAUUGUUUGGGCGACUUCAGAAUAUCAAAUUUUUCACCAGGCCCGGUCGUCCUGCCAAAUUUCAUGAGUUUUCGCCAGUGGGAAGUGGGCCAUUUUCCAGUUCAAAGGGGAGGAAAAAGAAAAAAGAAACAAAGAAAAACCACUUGGGGAAUAAUAGGGCUCUCGCAGCUGCUUAGCAGCUACGCUCGGGCCCUAACUAGGGCCCCGGUGGGGCACUGUCGGGCCCGAGCCGCGUUGCGCCGCCCCCAGCGCGACCGCCUCCCCCGCCCGAUCGCGUCACACUCAAGGUCCAAAGAUGGUGUGCGCACUUGUCUGUGGUCAUUUCCCAUUAUAAUGAAUGGAAGGCGCAGUUUCUACCAAAACACUCGCUGCAGACAAACUACAUGUCCUAUUUGAAAAAAGUCUGAUCCAUGAGUGAGGGCACAAACACAGCUAGGAUAUAUCCAAAUGGCAAGUUGCUCCUCCUUUCGGAGGAGUUUGAACACAUGACAUGUGUUUGAGCCAUUGAGCGAUGGGCAGGAAAAACUUGACUUUUUCUCCUGCCAUGGGGGGGCGCUCUUUUGGGGAGUAAAAAUUCCUUCACAAAUGUGUUGAUGGCUAGACAUUGCAUCAUCCUAGAAAACUUGGAAGCCAGUGAGGACAAAAAUGAAAAGUUAUAAGACUUUUAAGAAUGUGGAUUUUUGGGUUAUCUUUGGCGCCCCCUAGAACGUAAACCGUGGGGUGCAGCGUCAUGAUUUGUACAACUUUUAAUGGCCAUGGGGUGUAGAUUGGCCUGAGCAAAUGUGGUGCCGGUGGAACGAAAGCUUUAGGAGGAGUUAGCCACAUUCCAAUGUGUGCGAAUCGAUCAAAAAUGCGUAAUAGCCCUUUAACCGUACAUUUUACAGAUACGUGCGCAUUGACUUUUUCGUAGAUCUUAUUGAGAUACACGUGAUUGUCAAAUUUUGUUUCAAUAUGACAAAGCGUACAGGCGUGACACUCAACAAUGUGUAUUUUCACCUUAUGGGACAAGAAAAAAUGGACUUUUUUCUCCUGCCAUGGGGGGGCGCUCUUUUGGGGAGUAAAAAUUCCUUCACAAAUGUGUUGAUGGCUGGACAUUGCAUCAUCCUAGAAAACUUGGAGGCCAGUGAGGACAAAAAUAAAAAGUUAUAAGACUUUUAAGACUGUGGAUUUUUGGGUUAUCUUUGGCGCCCCCUAGAACGUAAACCGUGGGGUGCAGCGUCAUGAUUUGUACAACUUUUAAUGGCCAUGGGGUGUAGAUUGGCCUGAGCAAAUUUGGUGCCGGUGGAACGAAAGCCUUCAGAGGAGUUAGCGAAAUUCCAAUGUGUGCGGUUCCGCAAAAAAUGCGAAAUAGCCCUUUAACCGUACAUUUGACAGAUACGUGCGCAUAGACUUUUUUGUAGAUCUUAUUGAGAUACACGUGUGUGUCAAAUUUUAUGUCAAUAUGACAAAGCGUAUAGGCGUGACACUCAACAAUAUGUAUUUUCACCUUAGGGGACAAGAAAAAAUGGACUUUUUUCUCCUGCCAUGGGGGGGCGCUCUUUUGGGGAGUAAAAAUUCCUUCACAAAUGUGUUGAUGGCUGGACAUUGCAUCAUCCUAGAAAACUUGGAGGCCAGUGAGGACAAAAAUAAAAAGUUAUUAGACUUUUAAGAAUGUGGAUUUUUGGGUUAUCUUUGGCGCCCCCUAGAACGUAAACCGUGGGGUGCAGUGUCAUGAUUUGUACAACUUUUAAUGGCCAUGGGGUGUAGAUUGGCCUGAGCAAAUGUGGUGCCGGUGGAACGAAAGCCUUCGGAGGAGUUAGCGAAAUUCCACUGUGUGCGGAUCGGCAAAAAAUGCGAAAUAGCCCUUUAACCGUACAUUUGACAGAUACGCCCGCGCUGACUUUUUUGUAGAUCUUAUUGAGAUACACGUGUGUGUCAAAUUUUGUGUCAUUUUGACAAAGCGUACAGGUGUGACACUCAAUCAUGUGAAUUUUUCACCUUAGGGGGCGCUAUGGAGCCAUUUUGCAUUUGAUUGUUUGGGCGACUUCAGAAUAUCGAAUUUUUCACCAGGCCCGGUCGUCCUGCCAAAUUUCAUGAGUUUUCACCAGUGGGAAGUGGGCCAUUUUCCAGUUCAAAGGGGCAGAAAAAUAAUAAGACUAGGGCCCCGUUGGGGCACUGGCGGGCCCGAGCCGUGUCGCGCUGCCCCCAACACGACCGCCUCUCCCUACCGAUCGCGUCACACUCAAGGUCCAAAGAUGGUGUGCGCACUUGUCUGUGGUCAUUUACAAUUAUAAUGAAUGGGAGGCGCAGUUUCUACCAAAACGCUCGCCGCAGACAAACUCCAUGUCCUAUUUGAAAAGGACUGGACCAUGAGUGAGGGCACAAACACAGCUAGGAUAUAUCCAAAUGGCAAGUUGCUCCUCCUUUCGCUUUUGCCGAGAGAGCGAUGCGAUUGAGCCAUUGAGCGAUGGGCAGGAAAAACUUGACUUUUUCUCCUGCCAUGGGGGGAGGGGGGGGGGUGUGGAUUCUUUUAAGAAUGUGGAUAUUUGGGUCAUCUUUGGCACCCCCUAGAACGUAAACCGUGGGGUGCAGCGUCAUGAUUUUUACAACUUUGAAUGGCCAUGGGGUGUAGAUUGGCCUGAGCAAAUUUGGUGUCAGUGGGACGAAAGCCUUAGGAGGAGUUAGCCACAUUCCAAUGUGUGCGAAUCGGCAAAAAAUGCAAAAUAGCCCUUUAACCGUACAUUUUACAGAUAUUUGCGCAUGACUUUUUCAUAGAUCUUAUUGAGAUACACGUGAUUGUCAAAUUUUGUGUCAUUUUGACAAAGCGUACAGGCGUGACACUCAACAAUGUGUAUUUUCACCUUAUGGGACAAGAAAAAAUGGACUUUUUUCUCCUGCCAUGGGGGGGCGCUCUUUUGGGGAGUAAAAAUUCCUUCACAAAUGUGUUGAUGGCUGGACAUUGCAUCAUCCUAGAAAACUUGGAGGCCAGUGAGGACAAAAAUAAAAAGUUAUAAGACUUUUAAGACUGUGGAUUUUUGGGUUAUCUUUGGCGCCCCCUAGAACCUAAACCGUGGGGUGCAGCGUCAUGAUUUGUACAACUUUGAAUGGCCAUGGGGUGUAGAUUGUCCUGAGCAAAUUUGUUGCCGGUGGAACGAAAGCCUUCGGAGGAGUUAGCGAAAUUCCAAUGUGUGCGGAUCGGCAAAAAAUGCGAAAUAGCCCUUUAACCGUACAUUAUACACAUACGCGCUCUUUGACUUUUUCGUAGAUCUUAUUGAGAUACACGUGUGUGUCAAAUUUUGUGUCAAUAUGACAAAGCGUUCAGGCAUGACACUCAACAAUGUGUAUUUUCACCUUAGGGGACAAGAAAAAAUGGACUUUUUUCUCCUGCCAUGGGGGGGCGCUCUUUUGGGGAGUAAAAAUUUCUUCACAAAUGUGUUGAUGGCUGGACAUUGCAUCAUCCUAGAAAACUUGGAGGCCAGUGAGGACAAAAAUAAAAAGUUAUAAGACUUUUAAGACUGUGGAUUUUUGGGUUAUCUUUGGCGCCCCCUAGAACCUAAACCGUGGGGUGCAGCGUCAUGAUUUGUACAACUUUUAAUGGCCAUGGGGUGUAGAUUGUCCUGAGCAAAUUUGUUGCCGGUGGAACGAAAGCCUUCGGAGGAGUUAGCGAAAUUCCAAUGUGUGCGGAUCGGCAAAAAAUGCGAAAUAGCCCUUUAACCGUACAUUUGACAGAUACGCCCGCACUGACUUUUUUGUAGAUCUUAUUGAGAUACACAUGUGUGUCAAAUUUUGUGUCAUUUUGACAAAGCGUACAGGCGUCAGGUGAGUUUUCACCAUAGGGGGCGCUAUGGAGCCAUUUUUCAUUUUUUUGUUUGGGCGACUUCAGAAUAUCGAAUUUUUCACCAGGCCCGGUCGUCCUGCCAAAUUUCCUGAGUUUUCGCCAGUGGGAAGUGGGCCAUUUUCCAGUUUAAAGCGGAGGAAAAAUAACGAAAGAAGAAUCCAUCAGGAACAAGAGGGCUCUCGCAGCUGCUUAGCAGCUAUGCUCGGGCCCUAACUAGGACCCCGUUGGGGCACUGGCGGGCCCGAGCUGUGUCGCGUCCCCCCCCAACGCGCUGCCUCCCCGUCCCAUUUGUGUCCUCUGGCCAUCGCCCUCUCUGGUAACGCCCAUCACUGCAAAGACCCUUUUCCUUCAUCGGCGUUUGCUGUUCUUCCUGCCAGUGCGUGUUGCUUUCACUUACACUUGCCACAGCCAGCCUCUUGAGUGCCUAGCCUAUUGGAUAUCACUGUCACCUACUCAGGACAGUCAUUACCUUUCUAUUAAUACUUUGUUUUUUAAUUUCACAUUAAUUUCCAUAUUGUAUAAACAACUGGAAAAAACUUGAGCCCCUGCCCCUGUAUAAUCAUGUGCACGUCUCUGUUCUAGCUCUAAGGUGAAUCUUCACUGCUCAUGUUCUCCUCAGAAGCAGUCACCUCACUCCCCUCAGGUUACUGUACACAUGCACCAACUGCCUGCUUCAGGUUUGGAUGGAGCUUCAUGGUUGUCUUUUGGAGAAAUGACCAGUCAAGUUGUGUUUGAAAUUUGAUUUUUUUCAGGGGCAAAAGGAGCCUCUGCAUUCUUGUCAAAUAUGUAAAUAGCAUGUUUUUGCAGGUGCUAAAAACCAGACUCUGAGUGUGUGUGUGUGCGUGUGUGUGUGUGUGUGUGUGUGUGUGUGUGUGCGUUCAAGUCACAUGACAUAUUUAACCGGAUGUAGCUGCAAGACGGAGCCUCGUUGACUCCGUUUCAACUUAUCUCAAAAGUGAGGACCUCAACCUAUAUACCAGUUUUUAAAUUGUGUUGAUAGGCCAAAUAAAACCAGAGUUAUGAUAAAUUAUGUCCGCGAUACUUGUUUUCUGCUUAUUUUGAUCACGUUCGGCGCUCGAUCGCGCUGUAUGAGACAGGAAAACAUAGCAUGCAGACAUUAGCGACAGGUCUUACAGGCGGAAAAGGCUUGCCAAAGGAAAAAAAAAACACACCACAACAUCUCUCCUAUUGGUGGAAAACUUCACCACAACAACCAAUCCAAAAUUAUAUGGUGACUGAUUGACAAGGGGCGGGCGCUUACGUUCUUCCUGCAAUAUGAGAAGGGAGGGAGGGACUCUCAGCAGGGAUGCAGUCUGGGACACGUAGUUGCAAACCUAGCGACUUUGUUGUUAGAUUCAAUGACUUUUCAGACCCCCUAACAACUUUUUUUUUAGAAAGAAAGUGACUUUUAUCGACUUCUUCUGGAGUUUAGAGACUCUGACAUGAAGCAGGCUUUCCUUACUGAGGAGUUAGCAACGCUGCUAAGGGUGCAGAGCCACACAUGCGCUCCGAGCUCUGCAUGGGAGACUGAAGCUGACAGAGCUGCAGCAGUUAGCAGGUUUCACCCUCAGAGACCACCAGGGGUUCAUGUUGAGGCAUUUUCAGUUUUUUUUUUUUUUUUGCCAUAGACACUGUCAGCACAAUCUGCAGUUACACUAACAAAAAUGCUGCAAAAAACAAAGAAUUAUGGAAAAAUUACACAUGGACUAACAUAGAGGAGGAUCUACACAAGUUUUUUACAUCAUGUUUUACAUCAUGCAUCAUUUACAUCAUGUUUUUUUGUAGUGGCAUAAAUAAAAAGUGACAUUUGUGAGACUAUACAGUGUUUUGUAAAUAAUUUUACAAAGAACACCUGGGCCAUUGCCUGCAUUUUGAUGUAAAUAGAGGUAAAUUACUAUGUUCUUUGUUAAAAAUUUGCAUAUGUUUUGAAGUUUACAAUUUUAAUUUGAAGUUUAAGUUUUAAAAACAGUUCAUCACACAUAUUUGUGGUUUUCACAGUAAAAACGUUACUUUUUUCCACUCGGAUUUUAUGUUUUGUGUGUGAAUUUGGGUCCAAUGUGUAAAUAUAGUAUGUCAAAAUGAUAAAAUAACUGUAAAUUGACACAGGUGAGGUUGUGCUGAAAAAAAUGAUACCAGGCAAGGCAAGGUAAAAAUUUUGUAAGAGGAAAUAUAAAGGUAAAAUCUAAAGUAGUCAAAAACGGCCAAUAGUGACUCACAGACUCCACAGACAAGUCCCUUUGGCGCCACUCAGUGGGCAAAACUACUUUGUCUACUGUAAUGUAUAUUUGGGUCAUCUUUGGCGCCCCCUAAAACGUAAACCGUGGGGUGCAGCGUCAUGAUUUUUACAACUUUGAAUGGCCAUGGAGUGUAGAUUGGCCUGAGCAAAUUUGGUGUCAGUGGGACGAAAGCCUUAGGAGGAGUUAGCGAAAUUCCAAUGUGUGCGAAUCGGCAAAAAAUGCAAAAUAGCCCUUUUACCGUACAUUAUACAGAUACGCGCUCUUUGACUUUUUCGUAGAUCUAAUUGAGAUACACAUGAUUGUCAAUUUUUGUGUCAUUUUGACAAAGCGUACAGGCGUGACAGUCAACAAUGUGUAUUUUCACCUUAGGGGACAAGAAAAAAUGGACUUUUUUCUCCUGCCAUGGGGGGGCGCUCUUUUAGGGAGUAAAAAUUCCUUCACAAAUGUGUUGAUGGCUGGACAUUGCAUCAUCCUAGAAAACUUGGAGGCCAGUGAGGACAAAAAUAAAAAGUUAUAAGACUUUUAAAAAUGUGGAUUUUUGGGUUAUCUUUGGCGCCCCCUAGAACGUAAACCGUGGGGUGCAGCGUCAUGAUUUGAAUAACUUUUAAUGGCCAUGGGGUGUAGAUUGGCCUGAGCAAAUGUGGUGCCGGUGGAACGAAAGCCUUCGGAGGAGUUAGCGAAAUUCCAAUGUGUGCGAAUCGGCAAAAAAUGCGGAAUAACCCUUUAACCGUACAUUUGACAGAUACGCGCGCAUGGACUUUUUUGUAGAUCUUAUUGAGAUACAUGUGUGUGUCAAUUUUUGUGUCAUUUUGACAAAGCGUACAGGCGUGACACUCAACAAUGUGUAUUUUCACCUUAGGGGACAAGAAAAAAUGGACUUUUUUCUCCUGCCAUGGGGGGGCGCUCUUUUGGGGAGUAAAAAUUCCUUCACAAAUGUGUUGAUGGCUGGACAUUGCAUCAUCCUAGAAAACUUGGAGGCCAGUGAGGGCAAAAAUAAAAAGUUAUAAGACUUUUAAAUAUGUGGAUUUUAGGGUUAUCUUUGGCGCCCCCUAGAACCUAAACCGUGGGGUGCAGCGUCAUGAUUUGAAUAACUUUUAAUGGCCAUGGGGUGUAGAUUGGCCUGAGCAAAUGUGGUGCCGGUGGAACGAAAGCCUUCAAAGGAGUUAGCGAAAUUCCAAUGUGUGCGGAUCGGCAAAAAAUGCGAAAUAACCCUUUAACCGUACAUUUGACAGAUACGCCCGCACUGACUUUUUUGUAGAUGUUAUUGAGAUACAUGUGUGUGUCAAAUUUUGUGUCAUUUUGACAAAGCGUACAGGCGUGACACUCAAUAGUGUGAAUUUUCACCUUAGGGGGCGCUAUGGAGCCAUUUUGCAUUUUCUUGUUUGGGCGACUUCGGAAUAUCAAAUUUUUCACCAGGCCCGGUCGUCCUGCCAAAUUUCAUGAGUUUUCGCCAGUGGGAAGUGGGCCAUUUUCCAGUUCAAAGGGGAGGAAAAAGAAAAAAAGAAACAAAGAAAAACCCCUUGGGGAAUAAUAGGGCUCUCGCAGCUGCUUAGCAGCUACGCUCG
rnacentral:lncRNA from 1 species